rfam:Triticum aestivum genome assembly, contig: Triticum_aestivum_CS42_TGACv1_scaffold_113005_2AS
CAUAUACUCUCUCUGUCCGAAAAUACUUGUCAUCAAAAUGGAUAAAAAAGGAUUUGAUGACAAGUAUUUCCGGACGGAGGGAGUAUAAG